AUUGAACGCUGGCGGCAUGCUUUACACAUGCAAGUCGAACGGUAACAGGCCUUCGGGUGCUGACGAGUGGCGAACGGGUGAGUAAUGCAUCGGAACGUGCCCAAUCGUGGGGGAUAACGUAGCGAAAGUUACGCUAAUACCGCAUAAGCCCUGAGGGGGAAAGCAGGGGAUCGCAAGACCUUGCGCGAAUGGAGCGGCCGAUGUCAGAUUAGCUAGUUGGUGGGGUAAAGGCCUACCAAGGCGACGAUCUGUAGCGGGUCUGAGAGGAUGAUCCGCCACACUGGGACUGAGACACGGCCCAGACUCCUACGGGAGGCAGCAGUGGGGAAUUUUGGACAAUGGGCGCAAGCCUGAUCCAGCCAUGCCGCGUGCGGGACGAAGGCCUUCGGUUGUAAACCGCUUUCAGACCGGAAACGAAUACGCCAAGGCUAAUAUACCUUGGUGGA
rnacentral:rRNA from 1 species